GCGCACGCGCGCGAGGGAGGGAAGCCCAGAGGGGCGGCGGCCGUUGAGAUCCUCUGCGCGAAGCUUGGCGGGGUCGGGUGCUUCGGAGAAGGAUCGGAGAAGUGCAGCUGUCAAGUCCGCUGGCGCAAUGGAGACUGCCAUGCAAUUGAAACCAAGACAUCGCCCCUUUUGCUGCAGCGUGAAAGGCCACGUGAAGAUGCUGAGGCUGGUCCCAAAGUUAAAUGGCCACUUGGGAAGCACUCUAUUCCGGGGCAACAAAGAUAAUAUGCACAGAGGAGCACUUGGGAAGGAUGUUGUAAAGCUUCAGACUUCAGGUAGUAACUGCGACAUCGAUGACCUUUUUUAUCAUCGCACAAGCCCCUGAACCAUACAUUGUCAUCACUGGAUUUGAAGUCACUGUUAUUUUAUUUUUCAUAAUUUUAUAUAUAUUUAGACUUGAUCGAAUGAUGAAAUGGUUAUUUUGGCCUUUGCUUGUAAGUGUUCAGUUUCAUCCUUAAGAUUUAAUUACUUUUUCCUGCCACUGUGACAUAUUUUAGUAAACUCUGUUGCUUUUUUCUCUUACACCUUUAAGAUGGUCUCAGAUAGACUCAAGAAAAAGGAACUCUACCUGCUGCUCAUGUGCUCUGUACUGUCCUUGGGGGAGGGUCUCUAGGGGAUCCUGGGCUGCCACAGAAUAUAAAUUCUCCUCUGUGUUCCAUCUACUAGUAGAUGUGGCUGGCCUUUCUUUUAAGAGAAUUCACUCAAAUAUGGAUCUUCUAAAGAAAUUUAUAUUUAAAUUUCUUUAGGAUCAUGUUAAUAAAAUUAUACAGCAUUUUUAAUCUUUACUUCCCUUUUAACUGCAUGUUUAUAUGGCCUCAAAAUUGGGGGAUAGAGAUGACAGCAGGUUCCUAAUAUCUAUCCUUGUUCAUCCCUGGUCACUAAAUGAAAAAUCAAACUAUUUGGGGAAGAUAAAUAAAAUACAGUGUUAUCUUGCUUGAAAAUGUCUAUGGGAUUUGAAAAUAUCUAUAGUCUUUAAUGCCCUUCCCAUCUUUGGCUGGACAGGUAGCUGCCAUGUCUUUCUCUGCUGUACUUGUCUUGGCCUCUUGGAUUCCAGCAUGCUUAUAUCCAAGCUGGUAACUCCUAUUGAGGAGAGAGGACGUUAGAGUUAUUCUCUGACUAUAAAGGGUACCUUUUGGGACCACCUUUGAAGGCUAAUGAUGAGAAUCUCAGGCUAAUCACAAGCUAAAGAAGUCCCAAACAGGGAAAGCUGGGAAAUAGAUAGGCUUUUCAUAGCCCCUCCCACUUGAUCUACACUUCUGAGUUGAACCUGAUUGGAGGGAGGUCUAGGAAAAGAGAUUACAAGUCUUUUCUCAGAUGACCCUCAGUAGCAGAAAGAAGUAAGCUAGAUUGUCUAAGGAUUUCUCAAGGAGAUAAGGAACACUGGUCCACAUUUGCUUAAAAGUCAUAUAGUUAGUCUUCCUGCUCUGCUUCUCCAGAGUUAAUAAAACUGACACAUUUUAAUAUUUAUCUCCAAAUUCAAUAAUUUUCUGGAGCUUCUUACAUGUCUCAGUAAUAAAAUUGGAGCCCCAAAUUUAACAGAAUACACUGAAAGAGUAGCUUAGUAGUCUCCAAGUCUCAGGAUCAAACCUUGCCAAUGUUGUAAUCACUUAGAAAUAGUGCUAUAUGAGCCGGGCACAGUGGCACAUGCCUGUAAUCCCAGUGACUCCAGAGGCUGAGUCAUGUUCAAAGCUAGCCUCAGCAAUUUAGCAAGGCACUUACUCAGUGAGACCCUGUCUCUAAACAAAAUAUAAAACAGGGCUGGGGAUGUGGCUCAGUGGUUGAGCACCCCUGGGUUCAAUCCUCAGUACCAAAAAAAAAAAAGAAAAAAGAAUGAAUGCUAUAUGAGUAGUUAAGCGACUGCUGCAUUAUGCUUCCCAACUUUUUCUCUGAUCUUGAUCUAAUGAAAUAAUUCAUUCAACAAAUGAUAACACCUCCUAAUCCCACACUUUUAAAUCUGUUCUCUGAUAAAACACAAAUCUUGCUCUUGAAAAACUUUCAAUGUAGUCAGAAAGCAAGAUAGAUGAGAACUCGGUGACUCAGGGCUUGGUCGACAUACAGGAUGCUAUAGAAGCAUCCAGCCAGAAAAGGAGACAAUUACAACAGGCUCAUGAGGAAAGACUGCCUGAGCCAAAGUGGUUAGCAGCAGAGUGCUGGAAGAGAAAGGGGCUUCCUCAGAAGCAGUAACAUAUUCAAGGGUCUGGGUGGAAAAGAGCAUGACCCUCCAGGACCUGCAGGCAGCUCUGAAUGGCUGGAGUAUCAAGCUGUGAUCAAGAAAGUGGGCAGAGGGGGAGGCUUGAGGCAGUAGGGAGUCAGAGCAUGCAAGGGCUUCUGUGCCCUGGGCUUUAACCAAAAGGCUGAUGGGAGCUUUUCAAGAUUUUUAAAAAGAGGAAUAUGACAAGUUUACAGGUUACCAUCAUAGACACUGCCACCAGUGUCUAUAAUGGCUUGAAGAGAAAAAAAAAAAAACUAGAGGUUCUCAAAGACCAUUUAAAAGUCUGACAUCAUAAUCUAGGCAUGAAAAUGAUAAAGGCAUGAACUAAAGUUACAGCUGUACCUAGAAAGGAGAGAUGGGUUAAUGAGGUAGGAUUGAUAGGACACGGGAACGAGGUAGAAUACCUGUUGUUUAAAUAUCUACCUGAACGGGCUUAAGGAAGGGUGGAGAGAGCUGUAUGCAACGAGUUUGGGUACAGAAAUGUUGUUUAAGUUGUUUAUGGGAAACUUAAAUGUCAAUGUUCACUACAGGUCUGAAGCUUAGAGGGAGAAGCUGUAGCUGGAAGUCAUCAACUGCUGAUGGUAACUGAGCUUGGCCUGGCCAGACGGGCCUAGAGAGAGUGUGGAGGGAGCUGAAGGUAAAACUAGGUGGUGAGGAGUGGCCAGGGAAAGGCAGUGUCACAGAAGCCAAGAUAGAAAAGCAUUUCAAGCAGAAAGGUCACAUAGAAAGAAAGAAAGGUAGGUGCUGAAAUAUACAUAUAUUCCUAUUCAUUCACUGGCUGUAUUAAUAAAGAGCCCCCUAAAGGCCUUUUCCAGAGCAGUUUGCCACAAGUUAGGGACAGAGCAGGGAAGGAAAGAAACAGUUGGACCACAGAGGCCACCAAUGAGUGGAGGCAGUUUGGCCAGGGACAUUGAAAGGUUGGUAACAGAAUGAAGUCCCUGCAGAGUGGGAUGAGAGGCAGAACACAGCUGGAGAAUUUGCCAGGGGUCCUUUAACUGCCACUCAACUGAAGGACUCUCUGGUGAAAGAUUCCAGGUAACCUGUGGGCGGGGGAAAGGCAACUUUUAAGUACUUGUGCCUUUAGUGAUUAGAAGGGUUGUCAUCUGCACUUGGAUUUCUUAUUGUUGCACAGUUGUAGUCCCUGACACAAUCUGUAGAGCAGGCCUCCUCUGUUUCCCUCAAGUGUCCCAUUAUAGAAAGCACACCAACUCAGCCAACCCAGGCCUUGGAGGCUCAAAAUUUCUGUGAAAUCUUUCUACAUAUUGAUGUUUUGUUUUUAAUAUGAAAAUGAUUUUAAUUUCCAUUAAGGAUCAUUGAUGUCCUGGGGCGGUACACCACUUUUUUCCUGUGGUUCUCUGCACUCCAUAGAAAAUCACUUUUAUCCAAAAGCCUUUUAUAUAGAGACCAAAUUGCCCACAGGAGGAAGGGCUACCAGGCUGAAGUAGUAAUGUGGCCUUUUACCUUGAAUCAAAGCAAAAUAUUCAGCACACAAGAAAGUUAACCUAGGAUAGCCAGUUUCAAUAUUUCCUGCAAAUAAGAACUUUCUUCCUGAGUAUCUAAUCUUAUCCUACCCCACCCUCAUCAAACCUCUUCCAGCUUUCUUUUGAAUAACUACUUUCCUAAGUUAUUAGUUUUGACAUUUAGUAUUCCUGUCUUGAUUCCCUCCUGCCUGCUUAUCUGCAAACAUACAUAAACCAGAAUAAAGAAUAAAGACAAAGUACUUACCCAUGUUACCCACACUAUAUAUCCAUUCAAAAUUGUAAAUGGCACAUUUUGUUUUUCCCGUAUUUGGGGAUUGAAUCCAGGAGCCCUCUACUACUGAGCUACAUCCCGAGCCCUUUUAAUUUUUGUUUUGUUUUGUUUUUGAGACAGGGUCUUGCUAAAUUGACAAGACUGACCUUGAACUUGAAAUCCUUGUGCCUCAGGCCUAUGAAUCACUUAGGAUUGGUCAGGUGCCACCAUGCCGGCUAAAUUGCACUUCUUAAAACAAAGUUAAGAGUGAAAAGUGCUUUGUGUGGAGAAUUUAUUAAAUGAGUGAGCUAUAUAAGGCAAUAUCGUUGGCCAGCCAUUGUAUACAGAUGUAUAUGGGAUUCAUCUUGAAAAUUACAACUUUCUCUUAAGUACUUAUUUGCUGUCUUUAGUUUUAUUAGUUUCAUUUUAUAACAGAGUUGUUUGAUAUACAAUGUAGACUACUCCACAUAUCUUCUUACAUUAUUAAAAAUGAGCAUUACAACUUCCCAGAGUAUCUACCCAUUCUACCCUAAAACAUAUAAUACAUCUCAUACUCUCCUAGCCAGAUGAGUUCUGCUUCCAGUGACAUUUAUGUUAUGUCAAAAAGAAAUAAAUGCUAAAGUAGUUAAAUGUUUGAUGUAUUAUAGGUAAAGAGAACCACUAGGUGUCAUUGUAGACCAAAUACUAUAUAGGUGUCCUUUACUGUAGCACUUUGGCUUCCUGAAAGAUAUAUGCUAAAAAAUUUAAUAAAAUGGAAUUUUCGAAUUCUUUAAAGA